rnacentral:rRNA from 1 species
AUUGAACGCUGGCGGCAUGCCUUACACGUGCAAGUCGAACGGCAGCACGGGUGCUUGCACCUGGUGGCGAGUGGCGAACGGGUGAGGAAUACAUCGGAACGUACCUUAUCGUGGGGGAUAACGCAGCGAAAGCUGUGCUAAUACCGCAUACGCCCUGAGGGGGAAAGCGGGGGAUCGCAAGACCUCGCGCGAUUAGAGCGGCCGAUGCCUGAUUAGCUUGUUGGUGGGGUAAAAGCCCACCAAGGCGACGAUCAGUAGCUGGUCUGAGAGGACGAUCAGCCACACUGGGACUGAGACACGGCCCAGACUCCUACGGGAGGCAGCAGUGGGGAAUUUUGGACAAUGGGGGCAACCCUGAUCCAGCAAUGCCGCGUGAGUGAAGAAGGCCUUCGGGUUGUAAAGCUCUUUUGUCAGGGAAGAAACACCGGCUCUAACACAGUCCGGGAAUGACGGUACCUGAAGAAUAAGCACCGGCUAACUACGUGCCAGCCGCCGCAGUAA